GAUGCCUGGCGGCCCCGGGGCCACCUAGCUGGCGCCGCGAGGCAGUGACGCCGGAGGCGAGGGGGCGGGACGCACGGAGCGCCUCGCCUAGUCCCGUGCAGGCAAAAACAAAGCCAUCUCUUUUGAAACAAAAAUGAAACAGACGUGGCCGGGGAAAGCUAAAUAUUUGCAAGCCGAUGUGAACAAAGGGGAAAACUCCAGCCAAGGAACUUUGAGUUUCUGCGCGAGCCCCCAGCGGCCCCGCUCGCUGGAUUCUUUAUGAGAACGUCCUUUGCCCCUGCUUUCCCUCAGUCCCCGAAGGAAAAUAAAUCCUCGGCCAAAUGAGACUUGACGGCGUGAACAGAAGACCGUCCAGACAGUCCCAGCUGGCGCAGGCGGAGCCGGGCCAGAGCCUGCCGUCCUGGUGAACACAAUCGAGCAAGGCAGUGAAGCAAAAAUCAUUAGAUGAGGUAACUGAGGCACAGAGAGUUCAAGCAACUUGUCCACAGUCAUCUUCCAAAAAGUGCUGGAGCCAGGAUUUGAAUGCAGGCAGUCCCCCUCUUAUAUCCAAGCUGUCAUCCACUAAGCCAUGCUGUCUCAUAAAAAGAAGUCAAGUCACACAAAUAAGGUGGCUGGACUCAGACACAUCACGCUCCAGUUUGGGUUCCAAGGUGCUUCUUUCUGGAUUUUCACCUGCCUUGCCAAAAAUGAUUGAUUACGCCGGGCCGACUGGGUGUCCGGCAAUACCCAACAAAUGACUUUGGCCCCUAACAGCAGGCCUUGGCCAGAUAGAAAUCAAUAUUUCACCAUUAAAAUCUAUCAAAGAAGAGUUAAGGCACCAUCUGUCCCUGCCGCCUCUCUAUGGUGUGUGAACAUUAAAUCCGACACUUGUA